AGUGUGGUGUCUGUGGUGAUCGUUGCGGCAUGGGGUUGUAUGGGUGUUCUGUGGUACAAUGACAUUUGUUGCUCAGCUGCCGGUGCUACCGCAAGGGAUCUAGAACAGAGCUUCUGCUGUUUGUUGUGCCCAUGGAGAUCUAGCCUGACGCUGCAUUGUUGACAACAAAUAGCCGCAAGUGCUGAUUGCUGCUGGUCAGCUCAGUCCAGAAUUUGGCCUCAGAAAUGCAAUGAGGCUUGGUGAAUGCAUCACUGUUGCCAACGCGGCAUGCCCCGCCCCUUCCAAAGUCAUCAGUCAAGUCGAGGUUGGUCUGCAGUGCAGCUUGCCUUUGGCCGACAAGUCUGUCGGGUGCUCCUUUAAAACAGGGAGCGAGUCGAGGAGCGUGCAGACUACAGAGGCUGUAGAUCCGUCAAGCUCCACCUCAGAAACAAGCGAAAUUCGAGAAUUCACGCCAAGGAAUUUUGCGGAUCUCGACGCGCACAUGACCUAUCAAGCUCUUUCUGGUGUGGCGAUGAAGACACACACGGCGGGUACUAUGGUGCCACAUUACUUCACCUAGCUGAGACGAGGGAAGAAAUGGACACGUUUGCCAAAGCGUACAGCGACGGGUGCCGUAGGAGGGUGCCGAACUCUGCAGUACAGAAGAGGGUGGCUAACGGCAAGGACAAG
rnacentral:lncRNA from 1 species